GACGAACGCUGGCGGCGUGCUUAACACAUGCAAGUCGAACGGAAAGGCUCCAGCUUGCUGGCGUACUCGAGUGGCGAACGGGUGAGUAACACGUGGGUAAUCUGCCCUGCACUCCGGGAUAAGCCUGGGAAACUGGGUCUAAUACUGGAUAUGACCUUUCUCCUUAUGGGGUUUGGUGGAAAGUUUUUCGGUGUAGGAUGAGCCCGCGGCCUAUCAGCUUGUUGGUGGGGUGAUGGCCUACCAAGGCGACGACGGGUAGCCGGCCUGAGAGGGUGAUCGGCCACAUUGGGACUGAGAUACGGCCCAGACUCCUACGGGAGGCAGCAGUGGGGAAUAUUGCACAAUGGGCGGAAGCCUGAUGCAGCGACGCCGCGUGAGGGAUGACGGCCUUCGGGUUGUAAACCUCUUUCAGCAGGGACGAAGCGUAAGUGACGGUACCUGCAGAAGAAGCACCGGCUAACUAUGUG
rnacentral:rRNA from 1 species